CCUACGGGAGGCAGCAGUGAGGAAUAUUGGUCAAUGGGCGGAAGCCUGAACCAGCCAAGUAGCGUGCAGGAUGACGGCCCUACGGGUUGUAAACUGCUUUUAUACGGGAAUAACGAGCCUUACGUGUAGGGCUUUGCAUGUACCGUAUGAAUAAGGACCGGCUAAUUCCGUGCCAGCAGCCGCGGUAAUAAGGAAGGUCCGGGCGUUAUCCGGAUUUAUUGGGUUUAAAGGGAGCGUAGGCGGCAUGUCAAGCGUGCUGUGAAAGGGCCGGGCUCAACCCGGGCCUUGCAGCGCGAACUGGCGUGCUUGAGUCCGCGGAAGGCAGGCGGAAUUCGUCGGGUAGCGGUGAAAGGCUUAGAUAUGACGAAGAACCCCGAUUGCGAAGGCAGCUUGCUGCAGCGGAACUGACGCUGAUGCUCGAAAGCGCGGGUAUCGAACAGGAUUAGAUACCCCUGUAGUC
rnacentral:rRNA from 1 species